rnacentral:rRNA from 1 species
UACGGAGGAUGCGAGCGUUAUCCGGAUUUAUUGGGUUUAAAGGGUGCGCAGGCGGCGUGUCAAGCAAGCGGUAAAAUAGCGGGGCUCAACCCCGUCGAGCCGUUGAAACUGGCGUUCUUGAGUGGGCGAGAAGUAUGCGGAAUGCGUGGUGUAGCGGUGAAAUGCACAGAUAUCACGCAGAACUCCGAUUGCGAAGGCAGCAUACCGGCGCCCUACUGACGCUGAGGCACGAAAGCGUGGGUAUCGAACAGG